rnacentral:snoRNA from 1 species
AGUCCAUAGUGAGGGCAUUCUUGGAGUAGUCUUUGAAUCUCUCCAUGAGUUUGGAGAAUGAUUCGUUUGUCUUUAGCCUAAAUUGAGGAAUGACAUUUCUGAUUUU